rnacentral:ncRNA from 20 species
UUAAGGAUGACACCAAAUUUCGUGUUGCUUGAAGAUUUUUCGCUGUAAGCCACAAAUAGACUACAACGGUAUCUGACU